GGUAACUCCCCUUUUUCUCUCUUUAAAUUCGUCGAGAAGCAGUACUCAAGACAAUAGCAAACCACCCAAAAUUGUCAUGGAGACAAAGCCUAUACUAUUUUCUCCUAUACCCCUUUUUUGUUAUUUUCUCAUUCUUGCUCUCUUCAGUCUUGCUGCUGCUGCUAGCCUAUCUUUUAACUUUUAUGCAGCUUCAUGCCCGUUUGUUGAAUUGAUGGUUGCAAACACAGUGAGAUCAGCAUCUUCUUCUGAUCCAACUAUUCCAGGGAAGCUCCUCCGCUUGGUGUUCCAUGACUGCUUUGUGGAGGGUUGUGACGCGUCAGUGCUGCUAAAAGGAAAUGGGACGGAGCAAAGUGAUCUAGCAAACAAGUCUCUUGGAGGAUUUGCUGUUAUUGAUUCCGCUAAAAGACUACUUGAACUAAUCUGUCCAGGGACUGUUUCUUGCGCUGAUAUUUUGGCUUUGGCUGCAAGAGAUGCUGUUGCAAUUACUGGAGGACCUAUGAUCCAGAUUCCAGCAGGAAGAAGAGAUGGGAGGGCAUCAGCAGCUGCAAAUGUGAGACCAAACAUUGUAGAUACAAGUUUUACUAUGGAUGAAAUGAUCAAAAUCUUCUCCUCUAAAGGGUUAUCCCUGGAUGACCUUGUUACCUUAUCAGGUGCUCACACUAUAGGAGCAGCUCAUUGCAGUGCAUUCAGCGGUCGGUUCCAGAAAGACUCCCAUGGGAAGCUCAAACUCAUUGACCCAUCUCUAGACACUAGUUAUGCAAAUGAGCUAAUGAGAAUGUGUCCAGCAGGAGCAAGCGCAUCAAUAACAGUCAACAAUGAUCCUGAAACGUCCUCUGCGUUUGAUAAUCAAUAUUACCGAAAUCUCUUAGCCCGCAAAGGGCUUUUCCAAUCAGAUUCUAUUCUUUUAGACGAUGAAAGAACAAGGAAACAAGUAGAGGGUUUCGCUAAUGAUGAAGGCAGGUUUUUUGAGAGCUGGAGCCGGUCAUUUUUGAAGCUAACUAGCAUUGGAGUUAAGACAGGGGAAGAAGGUGAAAUUCGACGAUCAUGUUCAGAGAUUAAUGGAUGAAGUUUAGAAAGAAAGAAGGAAAUUUAAUUCCACUUAUUGGCUCGUUUAACUUUGAACAAAUCAUGUACAUGCAAAAGAUUUAUAGUAGUCUUUUUCCCUGUUUCGACUCUUUUUCUGCAGAGGAAUGGAA
rnacentral:misc_RNA from 1 species